UACGGGGGGGGGCAAGCGUUGUUCGGAAUUACUGGGCGUAAAGGGCUCGUAGGUGGCCAACUAAGUCGGACGUGAAAUCCCCUCAGCUUAACUGGGGAACUGCGUCCGAUACUGGAUGGCUUGAGUUUGGGAGAGGGAUGCGGAAUUCCAGGUGUAGCGGUGAAAUGCGUAGAUAUCUGGAGGAAUACCGGUGGCGAAGGCGGCAUCCUGGACCGGCAUUGACGCUGAUGAGCGAAAAGCUAGGGGAGCAAACGGG
rnacentral:rRNA from 1 species